UACAGAGGUCCCAAGCGUUGUUCGGAUUUACUGGGCGUAAAGGGUGCGUAGGUUGCUGGGUAAGUCUGACGUGAAAUCUUCGAGCCUAACUCGAAAACUGCGUUGGAAACUACUCGGCUAGAGGAAUGGAGGGGAGACUGGAAUACUUGGUGUAGCAGUGAAAUGCGUAGAUAUCAAGUGGAACACCAGUGGCGAAGGCGAGUCUCUGGACAUUUCCUGACGCUGAAGCACGAAAGCCAGGGGAGCAAACGGG
rnacentral:rRNA from 1 species